CCCAUCUGAGGAGCUGGCUCUGUCCCUUAAUAAAGGGCGACCAGUGGUUGCUGGCAUUCCAGGGGGCAGUUCAUCACACAUACUAUGCACCACAAGUGAUGGUGAAAAAAGGGUGAAAUAUACUGAUGGACGGAUUGUAUUAUUGGACUCUCCAGAAAGAACACAGUCUGUCACAGUUGAUGAAGAUGAUGAUGACGAUGAAGAGACCACAUCUGCUGUGACAGAAGUGGACAAUGCUGGUAGAUCCACUGAGGUAUGAUGCAUACCAUUAUGAUGUAUGGCCCCUUUUUGCAUUAGAGUAACAAACUGUCAUUGUCCUUUUAUAGUA